GCUGUUGUCGGGGGCGCUGGGGUGAUUAGCAUCAUGCAGGGCAUGUGAUUCUGACACCCUCUUCUGUGGUGGGGGUGAGAAGGCACCGGUGCCACUAGUCCCUGACCUGUCCCUCAGACAAGUUACAAAUGAAGACUGAGGGGGUGGAGUAGCUAUGGAAACCAGGAGGGAAGGAUUUUUUUUUUUAAUGCAAAUGAAUUAGAACAAAAUGACUGGCAUCCCUUUUUCUUUUUCCAUCUGUGACAAAAGUUCUGUGUCCUGGUUUCUACCUUCACUUGGAGUAAAUUAUGGGGGAAAGAACAUCAUGAAGACCUGCUAUUGUCAGAGUGUCAUUUCCUCUUUCUAUCUUUCUGUGGAUUAAUUUUAAAUCCAUUUGAUAGAAUUAAUCAUAUAAGCCAGUCUCAUUUCCCUGCAAAUGUCUGCCUUCGUGCAGGUGAUUCUGUAGAAAGGAGUUUCUCCAAUAAAGCAGAGCUUCUCUUUCAACUCCAUGGACAUCAGAGAGAGUCCCUUUCAAAAAAGGAGGCUCAGGUCUGGAGAGACAAAGGCCUCUACUUUCGAAAAGGCCUCUUGGAUCAAGCCCAGACCCUCAUCAGAGCUGACAACAUGUCCAGCCUGCACUACUGCAAGAACUUCUUUGUCUAUGGUAGUGUGGUCAACUGAAGAAGCCGGCUUAGUUGCUCCAGUCAGGUGCUCACACUAAGAAAGGAUGGGUGAAGGUUAUAAAGUGGCUGUGAAUGAGAACUCGGUCUGGGCUCUACCAAGCAGAGAAGCCAUGCAGAGAUGAGAAAGGUGAAAGCCAUGAAACCAUGUUAAGCAGAAAAAUAAAAAUUCAAAACAGAA
rnacentral:lncRNA from 1 species